rnacentral:lncRNA from 1 species
GAUUGGAUUAAAUAUAAUCAAUUGGAUUGGUGCCAAUCACCUCACUGCCUUGCUAAUUAGAACCUAAAACAAUUGUUCACCAAUACACUCUUGUAGUGAGUAACUAAUGGAUGAUGGAAAUAAUUAAUUGGAUUAAUUAAGUGUUGUGAUUAAUUAGAAAGUCUAAAGAAAUCAUAAAAGCAAUAUAAGAUCGUUUUGGGCUUAAAGAAACGUUCGGGUUUAAUUGGGCCCAUUGGGCCUAAACCCAUUGGGCUUUUAUUCAAGCAUUGGAUGACUUGAAAUAAAUAAAAGCCCAAAGCCCAAACAACACAAAAGGGCCAGCCAAAGGAGGGAGAGAAAGGUCAAAUGUUGACUUGUUUCUUUUUGGCUAUAAAAGGAACUUGAUAGCAAAUGUUUCAUUAGGGUUUUUUGAAGUGUUAAAAGAACAAAAGAGAAAAAGAAUAAUAUCUCUCUAACACUCAAAGGGCCGGCCACCAUAGGGGGAUUUUAGCUAAUCAUAUUUUCACCCCUUUGGUUAUUCCUUCAUCCUUCUCACUACACUAGUGGGUAAGGAUCUUUAGAGGCUUUCAAUUUUGGAAACUUGAAGAGAACCUAGGAGCACUCAUACUAAACAAAGUGGAGGAGGCAAGGAAGGAGGCUAGGCUCAAGGAGUUCAAGGAGCAAAGGGCUUGGAGGUGGUCCAUCCUUGGUCUAAGAUCUAGAUCAAGAGGUAUAAAACUACUCCUAAACUUUGUUCUUAUAUAAAUUUGUUUUUGAUGCAUCUUACAUAAACCUAUGCAUCUUGAAGGGGAUUUACAUGACUAGAGCUUUGAUAUUAUUUGAUAACAUGCUUCCGUUGCUUUCGUAUAUAAAUCUUGAAUUGUAUAUGCAUGCUAGUCACUAGAAAUCCCACAUGAAAUCUCAUAGUUUUCCCUUCAAAAAUUAACUUAACACACAAAUUUAACCUUCUUUUGACAACUGUAAUAUAAGUAUAAGUAGGGAUCGUUCUGGACCGGGGAUUAGGAGGGCUUGCUAAUAACCUCUAAACUGACUCAAAAACAUAAAACUAAACUUAAAAAUACUUAACAAGACUCACAUGACUCAAAGCAAACUUAAAAUACUCAAAACAACUUAAAACAACUAAAUAAACUUAAAAUAGACACUAGGAAUGACUUUGGAUGAAAAUUGACUUUUACUUGAAUCAAAACAUUUAAAAACACAAAUUAAAACAGAUUCUAACUAAUUAGACACACUAAAGUAAAGGGGGAUUGAGUUUUGGACGAAGUUGAAACAAACAAACAAGUAUGAAAAGCUAGACAGAUUGUAAAACAAAUUUGAGAAAUAAGAUGAUGGAUGGGAUAGCUAGAGGCUUUUUCUCCACACAUGAUAUGUAAGCAAACAACUUGAUUUCCAGUUACUACUUCAUUGAAUUAUGAACGACAAUGCUCCAAAUUAACCGUACAUCACUAGUUAACUCUCAGAUUUUCCUUGUUUUAUUGGAUUGGGUGAUAUCAUUCGACAACCCAAAACAUUCUUCUAAAGUUCCGUACAUGACAUCAUAAUAGAAAUACAAUCAAAGAUCAUUAUGUUUAAUGAAAAUCAUAAGCAUUGACAAAGCACUUGUAACUAUGACAUCAUGUCACUCAUGCUAGGAAUUGAACUUAACGCGAUCGUUUAUAAGCGA